rnacentral:rRNA from 1 species
GACGAACGCUGGCGGCGUGCUUAACACAUGCAAGUCGAACGGAAAGGCCCUGCUUUUGUGGGGUGCUCGAGUGGCGAACGGGUGAGUAACACGUGAGUAACCUGCCCUUUACUUUGGGAUAACUUCAGGAAACUGGGUCUAAUACCGGAUAGGAGCUCCUGCUGCAUGGUGGGGGUUGGAAAGUUUCGGCGGUUGGGGAUGGACUCGCGGCUUAUCAGCUUGUUGGUGGGGUAGUGGCUUACCAAGGCUUUGACGGGUAGCCGGCCUGAGAGGGUGACCGGCCACAUUGGGAAUGAGAUACGGCCCAAACUCCUACGGGAGGAAGCAGUGGGGAAUAUUGCACAAUGGGCGGAAGCCUGAUGCAGCAACGCCGCGUGCGGGAUGAAGGACUUCGGGUUGUAAACCGCUUUCGCCUGUGACGAAGCGUGAGUGACGGUAAUGGGUAAAGAAGCACCGGCUAACUACGUG